AAAUUGAAGAGUUUGAUCAUGGCUCAGAUUGAACGCUGGCGGCAGGCCUAACACAUGCAAGUCGAACGGUAACAGGAAUCAGCUUGCUGAUUCGCUGACGAGUGGCGGACGGGUGAGUAAUGUCUGGGAAACUGCCUGAUGGAGGGGGAUAACUACUGGAAACGGUAGCUAAUACCGCAUAACGUCGCAAGACCAAAGAGGGGGACCUUCGGGCCUCUUGCCAUCGGAUGUGCCCAGAUGGGAUUAGCUAGUAGGUGGGGUAACGGCUCACCUAGGCGACGAUCCCUAGCUGGUCUGAGAGGAUGACCAGCCACACUGGAACUGAGACACGGUCCAGACUCCUACGGGAGGCAGCAGUGGGGAAUAUUGCACAAUGGGCGCAAGCCUGAUGCAGCCAUGCCGCGUGUAUGAAGAAGGCCUUCGGGUUGUAAAGUACUUUCAGCGGGGAGGAAGGGAGUAAAGUUAAUACCUUUGCUCAUUGACGUUACCCGCAGAAGAAGCACCGGCUAACUCCGUGCCAGCAGCCGCGGUAAUACGGAGGGUGCAAGCGUUAAUCGGAAUUACUGGGCGUAAAGCGCACGCAGGCGGUUUGUUAAGUUAGAUGUGAAAUCCCCGGGCUCAACCUGGGAACUGCAUCUGAUACUGGCAAGCUUGAGUCUCGUAGAGGGGGGUAGAAUUCCAGGUGUAGCGGUGAAAUGCGUAGAGAUCUGGAGGAAUACCGGUGGCGAAGGCGGCCCCCUGGACGAAGACUGACGCUCAGGUGCGAAAGCGUGGGGAGCAAACAGGAUUAGAUACCCUGGUAGUCCACGCCGUAAACGAUGUCGACUUGGAGGUUGUGCCCUUGAGGCGUGGCUUCCGGAGCUAACGCGUUAAGUCGACCGCCUGGGGAGUACGGCCGCAAGGUUAAAACUCAAAUGAAUUGACGGGGGCCCGCACAAGCGGUGGAGCAUGUGGUUUAAUUCGAUGCAACGCGAAGAACCUUACCUGGUCUUGACAUCCACAGAACUUUCCAGAGAUGGAUUGGUGCCUUCGGGAACUGUGAGACAGGUGCUGCAUGGCUGUCGUCAGCUCGUGUUGUGAAAUGUUGGGUUAAGUCCCGCAACGAGCGCAACCCUUAUCCUUUGUUGCCAGCGGUCCGGCCGGGAACUCAAAGGAGACUGCCAGUGAUAAACUGGAGGAAGGUGGGGAUGACGUCAAGUCAUCAUGGCCCUUACGACCAGGGCUACACACGUGCUACAAUGGCGCAUACAAAGAGAAGCGACCUCGCGAGAGCAAGCGGACCUCAUAAAGUGCGUCGUAGUCCGGAUUGGAGUCUGCAACUCGACUCCAUGAAGUCGGAAUCGCUAGUAAUCGUGGAUCAGAAUGCCACGGUGAAUACGUUCCCGGGCCUUGUACACACCGCCCGUCACACCAUGGGAGUGGGUUGCAAAAGAAGUAGGUAGCUUAACCUUCGGGAGGGCGCUUACCACUUUGUGAUUCAUGACUGGGGUGAAGUCGUAACAAGGUAACCGUAGGGGAACCUGCGGUUGGAUCACCUCCUUACCUUAAAGAA
rnacentral:rRNA from 1 species